CCCUUAGAUGUUCUGGGCCGCACGCGCGCUACAAUGAUGAAUUCAACGAGUUUAUAACCUUGGUUGAAAAGCCUGGGUAAUCUUUUGAACUUUCGUCGUGAUGGGGCUAGACCCUUGCAAUUAUUGGUCUCCAACGAGGAAUUCCUAGUAAACGCAAGUCAUCAGCUUGCGUUGAUUACGUCCCUGCCCUUUGUACACACCGCCCGUCGCACCUACCGAUUGAAUGGUCCGGUGAAAUCUUCGGAUUGAGACUUUGAUUUGUUUACUCAAAACGCUGUUUCAAGAAGUUGAUUAAACCUUACCAUUUAGAGGAAGGUGAAGUCGUAACA
rnacentral:rRNA from 1 species